AUGGCAGCGACGCAUCGGGUCUCCGCCGUGAUCUUCGACCUCGACGGCACCCUCUUGGACACAGAGAGGGCAACAAGGGACGUCCUGAAAGAGUUCUUGGGGACCUACGGGAAAGUCCCAGAUGCGGCCAAGGAGGAGAAGCGAUUGGGGCAGAUGCACAGGGAGUCCACAACCGGGAUCAUCGCAGACUAUGGGUUGCCGAUCACCGUCGAGGAGUAUUCAGAGGCAAUAUACCCGCUGUAUAUCAAAAGGUGGCAAAGGGCAAGCCCACUUCCAGGGGUUAGCAGACUUCUCAAGCACCUCCACAAGAAUGGAACACCGCUGGCGCUCGCUUCAAAUUCCAUAAGGAGAAAUAUUGAUCACAAAAUUUUGAAACUAGGAGAACUGAAAGACUGCUUUUCGGUGGUUCUUGGUGGUGAUCAGGUCCCUCAUGGAAAACCUUGCCCUGACAUAUUUCUAGAGGCUGCAAAGAGACUUGGUGUAAAUCCGUCGUCAUGUUUGGUGAUAGAAGAUUCUCUUGUUGGAGUUCAGGCUGCCAAGGCUUCUGGGGCGAAGGUAGUUGCUGUUCCAUCACUGCAAAGUCAAAGGCAUUGUUACUCAAUUGCUGAUCUCAUCCUCUAUUCACUGCUAGACUUUCAUCCUGAGUUGUGGGGUCUUCCCCCAUUUGACGAUCGCAUUCAAGGUGCUUUGUCGAUGGAACCAUUACUCUCGAAUGCUCAGAUAGGUGAUGCGGUUCUAAACAAUACUCAUACAGUUAUAGCAGGUGAGCGUACCUACGACUCUAUUCCUGAUCAAAUAUCAGGAAUUUUCUUUGGUUGGGCCAAGUCGGAAACUUAUGGAGUCUUUAAAGCGGUGGUCAGCAUUGGGUGGGACCUUUCACCGGGAAAAUUCGAAAGAGUAAUGCACAUACGUGUUCUUGAUUCUCACUACAAGACCAAAACGGAGGAUCCCUUGGAGCUUUUAUUAAUUGGUUACAUCCGGAAGCUCCAAAGCUCGGAAAAUAUAUCCCAGGCAAUGAGCAUAACUGACGAAGACCAGGCCACUGCAAGAGAUGCACUAGACUUCCCAGCUUUCUCUGAAUAUGCAAAGGCAAGGGGUGCAUUGGACCUCCCAGCCUUACCUGAAUACGCAGAGCCACGAAACGGCCUUCUUCUUGCGUGA
rnacentral:rRNA from 1 species